GAUGAACGCUAGCUACAGGCUUAACACAUGCAAGUCGAGGGGCAGCAUGAACUUAGCUUGCUAAGUUUGAUGGCGACCGGCGCACGGGUGAGUAACACGUAUGCAACCUGCCCGUCUCAGGGGGAUAAUCGUCGGAAACGGCGUCUAAUACCCCGUAUGAAGCUGGACGGCAUCGUCUGGUUUUGAAAGAAUAUCGGAGACGGAUGGGCAUGCGGCGCAUUAGCUAGUUGGCGGGGUAACGGCCCACCAAGGCGACGAUGCGUAGGGGUUCUGAGAGGAAGGUCCCCCACACUGGUACUGAGACACGGACCAG
rnacentral:rRNA from 1 species